CUCUACGGCUCCCACUUGAGUGAAAGGGCCCCCCACGCCUUCCCUCUUUCAGGGCAGCCUUUGAACACAGUAGGACCUGCUGCACUCGCUCCUUCUUCCUCCAAGACGGGGGCUUCCUGAGGAGCCUAAAGCACCUCUCCGUCCCCGAAGCUUCCGGGCUCCCUCCUGCUCUGGAGUUCAGCCUCCGAGGUCCCUUGGGCCCUUCCCGGACAGCUUACACCAAGUGGCACCCUUCCCACUUGCCUGUUGGCUGCUCUGCGUAUCCCCCGGACAGACCCACGGCCUACCACGAUCCGUGCCCCACGCGGGCCAGAUCUCUUCUCUCCAUCUUCCCCAAACACUGCCCCACUCUCCAAGCUGCCACCCUCGAGGUAGCCAGCCGCCGCCUCCUCGUCCUCCGAACUCUCCGCUCUGCCCUUCUGGGGUAGUGGGUGCCAAUUCACUAUCGUAAGGGGGGUUCUCGGGGCCCUUGAACUCCUCCUUGCUUUCCCUCCUGCCUCAACCUCCCCGGGAAGCCUACAAACUGGCUCCCCAGAGACGUCUUGUCCUCUUUCCUUCCCUUCAGUGUGGACAUUCCCACUCUAGGCCAUCCUCUAUCAGCUGCCCACCUGAUCUCCCGAAGCACAGGCUGACUGUAUCACCCCCUCACCGAUAACUGUCAGUGGCUCCCUAUCACCUCCACAAUCAAAUGCUAUGAAAUACUCUGGCUGGCCUUCAGGGCUCCUCACAACCCAUCUCCUCCCGCAGGCUUCUGAGCCCACUCCCGAUCCAGGGACGCCGGCCCCCCGAGCCACGGCUGUCUGCCCCCGCGAGGCCAUCGUCUCCCUCCUCAGCCCCCGAGCCACGGCUGUCUGCCCCCGCGAGGCCAUGGUCUCCCUCCUCAGCCCCCGAGCCACGGCUGUCUGCCCCCGCGAGGCCAUCGUCUCCCUCCUCAGCCCCCGAGCCACGGCUGUCUGCCCCCGCGAGGCCAUGGUCUCCCUCCUCAGCCCCCUGCUAAAGGCCUCCUUCUGCCACAGCCUUUCACGGCCCUCGUCCACGUGUGCUGAUGCUCUCUUCGUCAUGGUGGCACCUGGUGUGGCCGGUGCCACCCAGACUCCAGGGGCAGCUCGGGGGCUCCGUGGCGCCCGUCUCUUUCUCGGCGGCCCCAGUGGGAGAGCCGACAGCGAUUCCCUGGAGGACCUCCUCUUGCUGCCCUCCGCGCCUCCCCCAGACCCCCGGAGGACCUCCUCUUGCUGCCCUCCGCGCCUCCCCCAGACCCCCGGAGGACCUCCUCUUGCUGCCCUCUGCGCCUCCCCCAG
rnacentral:lncRNA from 1 species